CCUCUCCUCCCCCAUGUUCUUUCCGCUUCCCCGGGCAGCGCGGGGGCAGGGCGGGCAGGCAGGCAGGGAGCCUGCCCGGUCCACGCAGGGCCAGAGCCGCUCUAGCUUGGACAGCCAAUUGUUCUCAUAGUUCCUGAAAGACUAGGAGUCAGGACCCCACCAGCAGAUUUCAUAUGCAGGCCAUGGUACCUGGCAACCAUAAGUGGCACCUGAACACAGAAGCCAAAAAACCAGACUGUCCGGGUCAAAUGCAGACAGGUGGCAACCCAACACUCGGGUCAAUUAAAGCGGUGCUAGCAAGUACAAGGAAAGAACAGAACAGUUUCUACACUUCUUUGGAACCACAAUGUAAAAGCAGUGACCCUGGGAACCUACCUCAUAAUUCCUAAUAAGCAAAAUAAAUUGAGUCAGCAAGUGUCAGACGGCCUGGAAACCACAGACAGAAGUGCUGCUCCUGACCUUCAGCUGGUGCUUGGACCUUCUGCUGCUGCUGCAAUGCCCUUUUCUCUGGAUGGGGAAGAUGAGACAGCGAGAGGUUACAGUGAGUGACUUGCCCAAGGACAUGCUGCAAGUCACUGACGCAGCCAGGCGUAGAACCCAACUUUCCAGCCUACCUGUCUCAUAUUGUUCUUGUGAUAAUACAUCAUGUGUUUAACAAGAGUAACUAUGUUGAGACAUGAGGCAUUUAAAUU